rnacentral:lncRNA from 10 species
GACAAUGCUGGUCAAUGUUGAUUUUUCUGCAUGAAAUAGAAAAGCAGAACUCUGUUGAUUUUAUGUUUUAUGGCUGAUCGAUGGGGGGUCAGGAUGAGGCACUUGAGAGGUGCUGAGUGGGAGGAACUGUGAUGUUUUUGAUGACCUCAUUUGUGUUGUUUCUUCUUCUGGGAAAGAGGAAGGUCAAGGUGAAUCCCUCUUUCAGACACACAUGGCUCAGGCAAUGUCACCCCUGGGCUGAAAGGCAAUGGUGGGGGCGUUUCCAGCCAGACUGAGCAAGGAGAAGUGACAUUUAAGGGCUUUUGAAGAAAUACUGCACUUUUGGCAAAGAGACCCCAAGCUGCACCUGCGUUUCUGCAGGCUCUUCACUUGCUUUUUAUAUCCUCACAGUCUGUAUCUGGAAUUGCUGAAAGGUGGAAAAUCUGCACACCCCUUAAGCAUUAAGACAGACCGCAAGGGCAGGGCAGAAUGUGAUGAAAACUCAGGAGACCUGACUCUCCAGUAACCAGAUGAGAAGCUGGAAUGGAGACUUGUUAUAGCUUCAUUAAAGAUACACAGCACAAUAGGACCGCUGCCAGGACCCACACCCGGCGCACAAGCGACUCCAUUCAUUUCUUUU